CCUACGGGCCGCACCAGUGGGGAAUAUUGCACAAUGGGCGCAAGCCUGAUGCUGCCAUGCCGCGUGUAUGAAGAAGGCCUUCGGGUUGUAAAGUACUUUCAGCGGGGAGGAAGGUGUUGUGGUUAAUACCCGCAGCAAUUGACGUUACCCGCAGAAGAAGCACCGGCUAACUCCGCGCCAGCAGCCGCGGUAAUACGGAGGGUGCAAGCGUUAAUCGGAAUUACCGGGCGUAAAGCGCACGCAGGCGGUCUGUCAAGUCGGAUGUGAAAUCCCCGGGCUCAACCUGGGAACUGCAUUCGAAACUGGCAGGCUAGAGUCUUGUAGAGGGGGGUAGAAUUCCAGGUGUAGCGGUGAAAUGCGUAGAGAUCUGGAGGAAUACCGGUGGCGAAGGCGGCCCCCUGGACAAAGACUGACGCUCAGGUGCGAAAGCGUGGGGAGCAAACAGGAUUAGAUACCCGCGUAGUC
rnacentral:rRNA from 1 species